rnacentral:lncRNA from 1 species
CCCUGCCACAGGGAACAUAUGGUCAUAGUCCAGGAUCGACAUGAUAAAUUGAAUAUGUGAAAGAAUCUUGAAACCGCGAAAAGAAUCUUUUGAACUUAAGAAAUAUAUGACUUAUACUUUGGAACUGCAUAUUUAUUUAUUUUCCACAUAUUAUUGCUUGAUUUAUCUAGCUAGAGUGUUCAUUACUUACUGGGCUGUCUAGCUCAUUAU